rnacentral:rRNA from 1 species
UACAGAGGUCUCAAGCGUUGUUCGGAUUCAUUGGGCGUAAAGGGUGCGUAGGCGGCGCGGUAAGUCGGGUGUGAAAUCUCGGAGCUUAACUCCGAAACUGCAUUCGAUACUGCGGUGCUUGAGGACUGGAGAGGAGACUGGAAUUCAUGGUGUAGCAGUGAAAUGCGUAGAGAUCAUGAGGAAGACCAGUGGCGAAGGCGGGUCUCUGGACAGUUCCUGACGCUGAAGCACGAAGGCCAGGGGAGCAAACGGG